GUGCCUUCUUUGUAGCUGGUACUGUGCUUCAGUUUCCCAUAACACCGUUGCAUCGUUCCUGCCAAACCCACAGAUGAAGAGUAAGAAGAGAGAAAGGGAGAAAACUAGAGUUUAUCCUGGCGAUGCUUCCAUGUGAACUUGAGAAGAAUGAAAAUUCAGCUGAUUUUGAAGAAAGGAUUCCACAGCUGUCAAUUAGAUGGAGAUCAUUGAUGGUGCUGUUCAAGUCCGCUCCAUCCUUAUUGAUUUUCUGUCCACUUCACCUAUCAGUUAUAGACAAGGAGGGUGUUUUAAUCUGCAGCUAUCAUCAUGAACUUGCUUAUUUUUUCUUUUAGCCUUACCAGUUUUUGUUUCAUGCAUUUGGUGUCCUCUUGUUUGGUGCAAAACCCCAUAAUUGCUGUGCCUUCCUGAAGACCUGAUUUCUUCAGUGUUAUGCUCCGUCCCUUUUAGUGCUCAUAAUUUUAUUCAUUUUCAAGUCUGUUUUGUCUGAAAUUAAAAUUUCCUUUUCAUUUUUC